rnacentral:rRNA from 1 species
UGCGCAGGCGGUUGUGCAAGACAGAUGUGAAAUCCCCGGGCUCAACCUGGGAACUGCAUUUGUGACUGCACGGCUAGAGUACGGCAGAGGGGGAUGGAAUUCCGCGUGUAGCAGUGAAAUGCGUAGAUAUGCGGAGGAACACCGAUGGCGAAGGCAGUCCCCUGGGCCUGUACUGACGCUCAUGCACGAAAGCGUGGGGAGCAAACA